UACGGAGGGCGCGAGCGUUAUCCGGAUUCAUUGGGUUUAAAGGGUGCGCAGGCGGCCUGCCAAGUCAGCGGUGAAAGCCCGGGGCCCAACCCCGGAAGUGCCGUUGAUACUGGCGGGCUGGAAUGCGGUCGAGGCGGGCGGAACGUGGCGUGUAGCGGUGAAAUGCGUAGAUAUGCCACAGAACGCCGAAGGCGGAGGCAGCUCGCCGGGCCUGCAUUGACGCUCGGGCACGAAAGCGUGGGGAU
rnacentral:rRNA from 1 species